UGAGACACGGCCCAAACUCCUACGGGAGGCAGCAGUGGGGAAUCUUCCGCAAUGGGCGCAAGCCUGACGGAGCAACGCCGCGUGAGUGAAGAAGGUUUUCGGAUCGUAAAGCUCUGUUGAGAGGUGACGAGAGGCAAGGCUAGGAAAUGAGCUUUGUAGGACGGUACCUUUCGAGGAAGCCACGGCUAACUACGUGCCAGCAGCCGCGGUAAUACGUAGGUGGCGAGCGUUGUCCGGAAUUAUUGGGCGUAAAGGGAGCGCAGGUGGGAAAGUAAGUCAGUCUUAAAAGUGCGGGGCUCAACCCCGUGAGGGGAUUGAAACUACUUUUCUUGAGUGCAGGAGAGGAAAGCGGAAUUCCUAGUGUAGCGGUGAAAUGCGUAGAUAUUAGGAGGAACACCAGUGGCGAAGGCGGCUUUCUGGACUGUAACUGACACUGAGGCUCGAAAGCCAGGGGAGCGAACGGGAUUAGAUACCCCGGUAGUCCUGGCCGUAAACGAUGGAUACUAGGUGUAGGAGGUAUCGACCCCUUCUGUGCCGGAGUUAACGCAAUAAGUAUCCCGCCUGGGGAGUAC
rnacentral:rRNA from 1 species